rnacentral:rRNA from 1 species
UACAGAGACUGCAAGCGUUGUUCGGAUUUACUGGGCGUAAAGGGCGCGUAGGCGGCCACCGCAAGUCGACUGUGAAAUCUCCGGGCUUAACCCGGAAAGGUCAGCCGAUACUGCGGGGCUAGAGUGCAGAAGGGGCAACUGGAAUUCUCGGUGUAGCGGUGAAAUGCGUAGAUAUCGAGAGGAACACCUGCGGCGAAGGCGGGUUGCUGGGCUGACACUGACGCUGAUGCGCGAAAGCUAGGGGAGCGAACGGG